UACGUAGGGGGCAAGCGUUGUCCGGAAUCAUUGGGCGUAAAGAGCGUGUAGGCGGCUUGGUAAGUCCGCUGUGAAAGUCCAGGGUUCAACCCUGGAAUGCCGGUGGAAACUGUCAAGCUUGAGUCCGGAAGAGGCGAGUGGAAUUCCUGGUGUAGCGGUGAAAUGCGCAGAUAUCAGGAGGAACACCAAUGGCGAAGGCAGCUCGCUGGGACGGUACUGACGCUGAGACGCGAAAGCGUGGGGAGCAAACAGG
rnacentral:rRNA from 1 species